UACGGAGGGGACUAGCGUUGUUCGGAAUUACUGGGCGUAAAGCGCACGUAGGCGGAUUUGUAAGUCAGGGGUGAAAUCCCGAGGCUCAACCUCGGAACUGCCUUUGAUACUGCAAAUCUCGAGUCCGGAAGAGGUGAGUGGAAUUCCUAGUGUAGAGGUGAAAUUCGUAGAUAUCGGGAGGAACACCGGUGGCGAAGGCGGCGACCUGGGUGGAUACUGACGCUGAGGUGCGAAAGCGUGGGGAGCAAACAGG
rnacentral:rRNA from 1 species